rnacentral:rRNA from 1 species
UUAGAGUUUGAUCCUGGCUCAGGACGAACGCUGGCGGCGUGCUUAAAACAUGCAAGUCGAACGGGGUCCAUCCACUCGCAAGAGUGGUGAAGACCGAGUGGCGAACGGGUGCGUAACACGUGAGGAACCUGCCCCAGAGACCGGGAUAACCCCUCGAAAGAGGAGCUAAUACCGGAUGUGCUCAUCGGAUCGCCUGGUCUGAUGAGGAAAUGGAUUCCGCUCUGGGAUGGCCUCGCGGCCUAUCAGCUUGUUGGUGGGGUAACGGCCUACCAAGGCGACGACGGGUAGCUGGUCUGAGAGGACGAUCAGCCACACUGGGACUGAGACACGGCCCAGACUCCUACGGGAGGCAGCAGUUAGGAAUCUUGCGCAAUGGGCGAAAGCCUGACGCAGCAACGCCGCGUGGGGGAUGAAGGCUCUCGGGUCGUAAACCCCUUUCAGCAGGGACGAUUAUGACGGUACCUGCAGAAGAAGGACCGGCCAACUACGUGCCAGCAGCCGCGGUAAUACGUAGGGUCCGAGCGUUGUCCGGAUUCAUUGGGCGUAAAGAGCUCGUAGGCGGUUUCGUAAGUCGGAUGUGAAAACUCAGGGCUCAACCCGGAGACGCCAUCCGAUACUGCGAUGACUUGAGUCUGGUAGGGGAUCACGGAAUACCUGGUGUAGCGGUGAAAUGCGCAGAUAUCAGGUGGAACACCGAUGGCGAAGGCAGUGAUCUGGGCCAGUACUGACGCUGAGGAGCGAAAGCGUGGGGGAGCAAACAGGAUUAGAUACCCUGGUAGUCCACGCCGUAAACGUUGGGCACUAGGUGUGGGUCCUCAUCAACGGGAUCCGUGCCGUAGCUAACGCAUUAAGUGCCCCGCCUGGGGAGUACGGCCGCAAGGCUAAAACUCAAAGGAAUUGACGGGGGCCCGCACAAGCGGCGGAGCAUGUUGCUUAAUUCGAGGCGACGCGAAGAACCUUACCUGGGCUUGACAUGCAGGGAAAAGCCGUAGAGAUACGGUGUCCGUAAGGGCCCUGCACAGKUGGUGCAUGGCUGUCGUCAGSUCGUGUCGUGAGAUGUUGGGUUAAGUCCCGCAACGAGCGCAACCCUUGUCCUAUGUUGCCAGCGCGUAAUGGCGGGGACUCGUAGGAGACUGCCGGGGUCAACUCGGAGGAAGGUGGGGACGACGUCAAGUCAUCAUGCCCCUUAUGUCCAGGGCUGCAAACAUGCUACAAUGGCGAGUACAAAGGGUCGCGAUCCCGCGAGGGGGAGCUAAUCCCAUAAAGCUCGUCUCAGUUCGGAUUGGAGUCUGCAACUCGACUCCAUGAAGUUGGAGUCGCUAGUAAUCCCGGAUCAGCUACGCCGGGGUGAAUACGUUCCCGGGUCUUGUACACACCGCCCGUCACAUCACGAAAGUCGGCUGUACCAGAAGUCGGUGUUCCAACCCGCAAGGGAGGAAGCCGCCUAAGGUAUGGUCGGUAAUUGGGGUGAAGUCGUAACAAGGUAACC